ACCUGAAUUGUCUUGUUCAACUUAUCAAGAUUUGAAUAUACUUUCGACCCAAGCAUCCAACCUUUACAGGUUUGACCAAGGUAGUUUGCCUGAUUUAUCUUCUCGACUCGUAAGGAGUGGAAUAUGCCUUCUGCCCUAACGUCAUGCUUUCACGAACUUGGCGAAAGAUGCAUACCGAUAGAAUAAUAACAAGCAUAAUUAUGGAAAGUGGAGGUAUCUCGGUUCAACCAAACCGGCCAGCCUUCUAAUAAAAGACACAACCCCGUAUGGGGGGUCGGUUUUUUCACGAAACAGAGAGCGGAGAGCGGAGGGGGGCGGACGACCGAACGCACGCUCAGUGGCUUUGGAGGAUUUUCUUCGCCAUUUUCAGCAAAUGAUCGCGUUGGAGGACAUUUGGAAGCGAGGCGAGGAGAUUUGUAAGGGAGAAAGAAGAAAGUUUUUGGGAUUUGGAAGAUCCCCUCGUUAAAAUUUAAGAAAAUUUGGAAGGGAAGAGACCAAGUUAAAGGAGUUGGAUGCUUCAAAAAUUCAAUAAGAAAGAGAACAUGUUACAAGGUAUGGAAGGAAUUCGAUAUUUGUUGACUUAUUCAAAUUGAGAAUUAAUAUUAAUUAAUUUUGUACUAUUCUUGUGAACAAUUAAAGACUUCCAAACUGCAUGAGUAUUGGAAGAAGAGAUAGAGUGGGUAAAUCAUUGUUAUGUUUAGACAUUUAUUGUUGAAAUUUU